CAGAUAGUAGUUUAAAAAAUAUUAGCAUUGGAAGCUAAAGAUCAAACUUUAAGUUUGUUA
rnacentral:tRNA from 1 species